rnacentral:rRNA from 1 species
GAUCAUGGCUCAGGACGAACGCUGGCGGCGCGCCUAACACAUGCAAGUCGAACGAGCGAGAGAGAGCUUGCUUUCUCGAGCGAGUGGCGAACGGGUGAGUAACGCGUGAGGAACCUGCCUCAAAGAGGGGGACAACAGUUGGAAACGACUACUAAUACCGCAUAAGCCCACGACCCGGCAUCGGGAAGAGGGAAAAGGAGCAAUCCGCUUUGAGAUGGCCUCGCGUCCGAUUAGCUAGUUGG